AGAGUUUGAUCCUGGCUCAGGAUGAACGCUGGCGGCGUGCUUAACACAUGCAAGUCGAACGAUGAAGCGCCAGAUUGCUGGGUGGAUUAUUGGCAAACGGGUGAGUAACACGUGAGUAACCUGCCCCUGACUCUGGGAUAAGCCCGGGAAACUGGGUCUAAUACCGGAUAUGACCAUGGGACGCUAUGUCUCGUGGUAGAAAGAUUUAUCGGUUGGGGAUGGACUCGCGGCCUAUCAUCUUGUUGGUGAGGUAAUGGCUCACCAAGGCGACGACGGGUAGCCGCCCUGAGAGGGUGACCGGCCACACUGGGACUGAGACACGGCCCAGACUCAUUCGGGAGGCAGCAGUGGGGAAUAUUGCACAAUGGGCGCAAGCCUGAUGCAGCGCCUCCGCGUGAGGGAUGACGGCCUUCGGGUUGUAAACCUCUUUCAGUAGGGAAGAAGCGAGAGUGACGGUACCUGCAGAAGAAGCGCCGGCUAAUUACGUGCCAGCAGCCGCGGUAAUACGUAGGUGGCGAGCGUUAUCCGGAUUUACUGGGCGUAAAGGGAGCGUGGGCGGAUGAUUAAGUGGGAUGUGAAAUACCCGGGUUCAACUUGGGUGCUGCAUUCCAAACUGGUUAUCUACGAGUGCAGGAGAGGAGAGUGGAAUUCCUAGUGUAGCGGUGAAAUGGGUAGAGUUUAGGAAGAACACCAGUGGGGAAGGGGACUCUUUGGACUGUAACUGACGUUGAGGCUGGAAAGCGUGGGGAGCAAACAGGAUUAGAUACCCUGGUAGUCCACCCCGUAAACGAUGAAUACUAGGUGUGGGCGUUUCAACACCUCUUUGCCACCGCUAACGCAUUAUGUACUCCGCGUGGGGAGUGCGGUCGCAAGAUUAAAACUCAAAGGAAUUGACGGGGACCCGCACAAGUAGCGGCGCAUGUGGUUUAAUUAGAAGCAACGCGAAGCACCUUACCUUCACUUGACAUCCCUUGCAUUACUGUUAAUCGAGGAAAUCCUUUCGGGGACAAGGUGACAGGUGGCGCAUGGUUGUUGUCAGCUUGUGUCGUGAGAUGUUGGGUUAAGUCCCGCAGCGAGCGCACCCCUUCUCGUUAGUUCCUCCCACUUAACUUGAGGACUCUAGCGAGACUCCCUGGGUUAACCAGGAGGAAGGUGGGGAUGACGUCAAAUCUUCAUGCCCCUUAUGUGUAGGGCUCCCCACGUGUUCCAAUGGGUGGUACAGAGAGAUGCACUUCCGCGAGGCGGAGCCACAUUUAAAAACCAGUCUCAGUUCGGAUUGUAGUCUGAAACUCGCCUCCAUGAAGUUGGAGUUACUAGUAAUCGCGAAUCAGAAUGUCGCGGUGAAUACGUUCCCGGGUCUUGCACUCACCGCCCGUCA
rnacentral:rRNA from 1 species